rnacentral:rRNA from 1 species
CACCACAACAGGUGGAGCCUGCGGUUUAAGUCGGCGUCAACGCCGGGAAGGCUCACCGGAUAAGACAGCGGAAUGAUAGCCGGGCUGAAGACUCUGCUUGACUAGCUGAGAGGAGGUGCAUGGCCGUCGUCAGUUCGUACUGUGAAGCAUCCUGUUAAGUCAGGCAACGAGCGAGACCCACGCCAACAGUUGCCAGCAUGUCCUCCGGGAUGGUGGGGACACUGUUGGGACCGCCUCUGCUAAAGAGGAGGAAGGAAUGGGCAACGGUAGGUCAGCAUGCCCCGAAUUAUCCGGGCUACACGCGGGCUACAAUGGUCAGGACAAUGGGCAUCAACACCGAAAGGUGAAGGCAAUCUCUUAAACCUGUCCUUAGUUCGGAUUGUGGGCUGCAACUCGCCCACAUGAAGCUGGAAUCUGUAGUAAUCGCGUCUCAAAAUGGCGCGGUGAAUAUGUCCCUGCUCCUU